rnacentral:rRNA from 1 species
CUGCGGCAGCGACACUGUGUGUUGUUGGGUAGGGGAGCGUUCUGUAAGCCUGUGAAGGUGGCCUGUGAGGGUUGCUGGAGGUAUCAGAAGUGCGAAUGCUGACAUAAGUAACGAUAAAGCGGGUGAAAAGCCCGCUCGCCGGAAGACCAAGGGUUCCUGUCCAACGUUAAUCGGGGCAGGGUGAGUCGACCCCUAAGGCGAGGCCGAAAGGCGUAGUCGAUGGGAAACGGGUUAAUAUUCCCGUACUUGGUGUUACUGCGAAGGGGGGACGGAGAAGGCUAUGUUGGCCGGGCGACGGUUGUCCCGGUUUAAGCGUGUAGGUGUGUGUUCCAGGUAAAUCCGGUUCACUUUAACACUGAGGCGUGACGACGAGGCACUACGGUGCUGAAGCAACAAAUGCCCUGCUUCCAGGAAAAGCCUCUAAGCAUCAGGUAACAUCAAAUCGUACCCCAAACCGACACAGGUGGUCAGGUAGAGAAUACCAAGGCGCUUGAGAGAACUCGGGUGAAGGAACUAGGCAAAAUGGUGCCGUAACUUCGGGAGAAGGCACGCUGACACGUAGGUGAAGUGAUUUACUCACGGAGCUGAAGUCAGUCGAAGAUACCAGCUGGCUGCAACUGUUUAUUAAAAACACAGCACUGUGCAAACACGAAAGUGGACGUAUACGGUGUGACGCCUGCCCGGUGCCGGAAGGUUAAUUGAUGGGGUCAGCGCAAGCGAAGCUCCUGAUCGAAGCCCCGGUAAACGGCGGCCGUAACUAUAACGGUCCUAAGGUAGCGAAAUUCCUUGUCGGGUAAGUUCCGACCUGCACGAAUGGCGUAAUGAUGGCCAGGCUGUCUCCACCCGAGACUCAGUGAAAUUGAACUCGCUGUGAAGAUGCAGUGUACCCGCGGCAAGACGGAAAGACCCCGUGAACCUUUACUAUAGCUUGACACUGAACAUUGAGCCUUGAUGUGUAGGAUAGGUGGGAGGCUUUGAAGCGUGGACGCCAGUCUGCGUGGAGCCGACCUUGAAAUACCACCCUUUAAUGUUUGAUGUUCUAACGUGGACCCGUGAUCCGGGUUGCGGACAGUGUCUGGUGGGUAGUUUGACUGGGGCGGUCUCCUCCUAAAGAGUAACGGAGGAGCACGAAGGUUGGCUAAUCCUGGUCGGACAUCAGGAGGUUAGUGCAAUGGCAUAAGCCAGCUUGACUGCGAGCGUGACGGCGCGAGCAGGUGCGAAAGCAGGUCAUAGUGAUCCGGUGGUUCUGAAUGGAAGGGCCAUCGCUCAACGGAUAAAAGGUACUCCGGGGAUAACAGGCUGAUACCGCCCAAGAGUUCAUAUCGACGGCGGUGUUUGGCACCUCGAUGUCGGCUCAUCACAUCCUGGGGCUGAAGUAGGUCCCAAGGGUAUGGCUGUUCGCCAUUUAAAGUGGUACGCGAGCUGGGUUUAGAACGUCGUGAGACAGUUCGGUCCCUAUCUGCCGUGGGCGCUGGAGAACUGAGGGGGGCUGCUCCUAGUACGAGAGGACCGGAGUGGACGCAUCACUGGUGUUCGGGUUGUCAUGCCAAUGGCACUGCCCGGUA